AUUGAACGCUGGCGGCAUGCUUUACACAUGCAAGUCGAACGGUAACAGGGUGCUUGCACCGCUGACGAGUGGCGAACGGGUGAGUAAUAUAUCGGAACGAGCCCAGUCGUGGGGGAUAACGUAGCGAAAGCUACGCUAAUACCGCAUACGAUCUAUGGAUGAAAGCGGGGGAUCGCAAGACCUCGCGCGAUUGGAGCGGCCGAUAUCAGAUUAGGUAGUUGGUGAGGUAAAGGCUCACCAAGCCGACGAUCUGUAGCUGGUCUGAGAGGACGACCAGCCACACUGGGACUGAGACACGGCCCA
rnacentral:rRNA from 1 species